rnacentral:pre_miRNA from 1 species
GAGGUACUCCCUCCGUCCCAAAAUUCUUGUCUUACAUUUGUUUAGAUACGAAUGUAUCUAACACUAAAAUGUAACUAGAUACAUCCGUAUUUAGACAAAUUUAAGACAAGAAUUUUGGGACAGAGGGAGUACAAA